ACCCGCUGAACUUAAGCAUAUCAAUAAGCGGAGGAAAAGAAACCAACAGGGAUUGCCCUAGUAACGGCGAGUGAAGCGGCAACAGCUCAAAUUUGAAAUCUGGCGUCUUUGGCGUCCGAGUUGUAAUUUGCAGAGGGCGCUUUGGCAUUGGCAGCGGUCCAAGUUCCUUGGAACAGGACGUCACAGAGGGUGAGAAUCCCGUACGUGGUCGCUAGCCUUUACCGUGUAAAGCCCCUUCGACGAGUCGAGUUGUUUGGGAAUGCAGCUCUAAAUGGGAGGUAAAUUUCUUCUAAAGCUAAAUACUGGCCAGAGACCGAUAGCGCACAAGUAGAGUGAUCGAAAGAUGGAAAGCACUUUGGAAAGAGAGUUAAAAAGCACGUGAAAUUGUUGAAAGGGAAGCGCUUGCAGCCAGACUUGCCUGUAGUUGCUCAUCCGGGUUUCUACCCGGUGCACUCUUCUAUAGGCAGGCCAGCAUCAGUUUGGGCGGUUGGAUAAAGGUCUCUGUCAUGUACCUCUCUUCGGGGAGAACUUAUAGGGGAGACGACAUACUACCAGCCUGGACUGAGGUCCGCGCAUCUGCUAGGAUGCUGGCGUAAUGGCUGU
rnacentral:rRNA from 1 species